rnacentral:rRNA from 1 species
GACGAACGCUGGCGGCGCGCUUAACACAUGCAAGUCGAACGGAAAGGCCUGCUUUCCCUUGUGGAUUGCGGGUACUCGAGUGGCGAACGGGUGAGUAACACGUGAGUGAUCUGCCCCCAACUUGGGUAUAAGCCUGGGAAACUGGGUCUAAUUCCCGAUAGGACUGCAGGGUGGUGCCCGUGGUGGAAAACGAUUUUCUAGUGGUUGGGGAUGAGCUCGCGGCCUAUCAGCUUGUUGGUGGGGUAAUGGCCUACCAAGGCGGCGACGGGUAGCCGGCCUGAGAGGGUGGACGGCCACAUUGGGACUGAGAUCCGGCCCAGACUCCUACGGGAGGCAGCAGUGGGGAAUAUUGCACAAUGGGCGGAAGCCUGAUGCAGCGACGCCGCGUGGGGGAUGACGGCCUUCGGGUUGUAAACUCCUUUCGACCGCGAGGAAGCCACCUGGUUGGAAGGGUGGUGACGGUAGUGGUAGAAGAAGCACCGGCUAACUACGUG